rnacentral:lncRNA from 10 species
AUCCUCCCACCUCAGCCUCCUAAGUAACUGGGACUACAGACAGGGUCUUGCUCUGUCACCCAGGCUGGAGUGUAGUGGCACAAUCACAGCUCACUGCAGCCCUGACCUCUUACACCGAAGCAGUCCUCAUACGUCAGCCUCCCAAAGUGCUGGGAUUACAGGUGUGAGCCACCAUGCCUGGCCUAGAUUCUUUACUUUGACAUGUCGUUAUUAGUGAUAAUGAUUUUUUAAUUCUCUAGAAAAGUACAAAUAAUUUGAAAAUGGAGUAAUUAAAAGAUCAUUUUAUCUUCAGCUUAGGUAGUGAAAAAGUAUUUUUGUGUUUUAUGUGUGAAUGUCUAGUUCUAUAAAAUAAUGCCAUUAAUCUUUAAUCAAGAAUAAAAAAGUUGGCUGGGCAUGUAAAAAAUAAAACAGUGUUGAGA